rnacentral:lncRNA from 1 species
GAGCGGGCCAAUGGCGAUGAUUAACAACCUGGGGUAGAGAGGGUUCCUCUGGCGCAGCCCCUACAAUUCUUGAAUGUGGAUCUAGGUUCAACAUUAAUAAUGACCUUGGAUGUGGCCGAAGAGAGGAUCAAAGCAGCCCACUCCCUCUACCAUGGGUUGAAACCCAUAUCUUGUAGUAGCUCCAAAAGGUAUUCCCACCUGGCUGUAUCGAAAGCCUUUGGGUUGUCAAGCUUGAGGAAUAAUCCCGGUGUCGCCUCUGGAAGUCUUUGAUCACAUUCUGGGUAUACAUGUCCUGUAUGUGCCCCUGCUUGAUGAAAGCACAUUGGUUCCUCGAGAUUAUGAUGUGUAGCAUUGGUCCCAAGCUAUACGGCCUCACUUUGGACAAGAACUUUCCAAGACUAUGUGUGAGGUUGAUGGGUUUGAAAUGAGAGGCAUGUGAAACAUUGUUCUUCUUAGGUAGCAAGGUUAUUGAAGCAGAUUUGAGCAACCCGAACCGGCACCCCCUCAAGUCGAACAGCUGCCUCAAGGCUGCGAUGAUAUCACCCUUCGCCGGUCACUCUUUGAUCCAAUGUGUCAUAUGUAUCUAACUGGUUUUAUUUCUUUCCAAAAAGUUGAUAUACCCUAGGCCUUUGCAUCGGUUGAGGCACACACCCAUAUAUUAUUAAUUAUGGAAGCAAUGUCAAAUAAAAUCCAACAAUUAUACUCAUCAAAUGGGCUUAUAUAUAUAAUAACUCGAGGCCAUCCACGCAAGACAUUUUUUACGCAUGUAACCCUCUACGCCAAUUAUUUGAAAUAAAUACUCC